GCACGCUGGAAGGCAUAACGGCUAGUUUUUUCUUGAUUCCAACGGCUCUAUUUUUGUCUCUAACGGCUAGAUUUUUGUUUCCACUCCCUCUAAAGCUAUAAAAUCAAGAGGAGAGCUAGGGAAGAGGGUAUGGAAGUGGGAGAGAACAUUUAGGGAAGAGAUUUCAAAGAGAUUACAAGGAAAAUCUUCCAAAAGCACAAAAGGGCCAUUCAAAGCAAAAUAGAGAGAAG
rnacentral:lncRNA from 1 species